rnacentral:rRNA from 2 species
GCUUACGGCCAUACCACUCUGAACACGCCCGAUCUCGUCUGAUCUCGGAAGCUAAGCAGGGUCGGGCCUGGUUAGUACUUGGAUGGGAGACCGCCUGGGAAUACCAGGUGCUGUAAGCUUUU